CUUCACGGAGCCCAGCAGCAGUGGCCGAUCCGGAUCCCGGUCCUGGCCGUAGGUAGCCAGCAGGGCCUGCGCCUC
rnacentral:antisense_RNA from 1 species